CGGAUNUUGGGCGUAAGAGCUCGUAGGCGGUUUGUCGCGUCUGUCGUGAAAGUCCGGGGCUUAACCCCGGAUCUGCGGUGGGUACGGGCAGACUAGAGUGCAGUAGGGGAGACUGGAAUUCCUGGUGUAGCGGUGGAAUGCGCAGAUAUCAGGAGGAACACCGAUGGCGAAGGCAGGUCUCUGGGCUGUAACUGACGCUGAGGAGCGAAAGCAUGGGGAGCGAACAGGAUUAGAUACCCUGGUAGUCCAUGCCGUAAACGUUGGGCACUAGGUGUGGGGACCAUUCCACGGUUUCCGCGCCGCAGCUAACGCAUUAAGUGCCCCGCCUGGGGAGUACGGCCGCAAGGCUAAAACUCAAAGGAAUUGACGGGGGCCCGCACAAGCGGCGGAGCAUGCGGAUUAAUUCGAUGCAACGCGAAGAACCUUACCAAGGCUUGACAUGUUCUGGAUCGCCGUAGAGAUACGGUUUCCCCUUUGGGGCGGGUUCACAGGUGGUGCAUGGUUGUCGUCAGCUCGUGUCGUGAGAUGUUGGGUUAAGUCCCGCAACGAGCGCAACCCUCGUUCCAUGUUGCCAGCACGUAAUGGUGGGGACUCAUGGGAGACUGCCGGGGUCAACUCGGAGGAAGGUGAGGACGACGUCAAAUCAUCAUGCCCCUUAUGUCUUGGGCUUCACGCAUGCUACAAUGGCCGGUACAAUGGGUUGCGAUACUGUGAGGUGGAGCUAAUCCCAAAAAGCCGGUCUCAGUUCGGAUUGGGGUCUGCAACUCGACCCCAUGAAGUCGGAGUCGCUAGUAAUCGCAGAUCAGCAACGCUGCGGUGAAUACGUUCCCGGGCCUUGUACACACCGCCCGUCAAGUCACGAAAGUUGGUAACACCCGAAGCCGGUGGCCUAACCCUUGUGGGGGGAGCCGUCGAAGGNGGGACCAGCGAUUGGGACUAANUCNA
rnacentral:rRNA from 1 species